rnacentral:rRNA from 1 species
AGUGAACGCUGGCGGUAUGCCUAACACAUGCAAGUCGAACGGCAGCACAGUAAGAGCUUGCUCUUACGGGUGGCGAGUGGCGGACGGGUGAGGAAUACAUCGGAAUCUACUUUUUCGUGGGGGGUAACGUAGGGAAACUUACGCUAAUACCGCAUACGAACUACGGGUGAAAGCAGGGGAUCUUCGGACCUUGCGCGAGUGAACGAGCCGAUGUCGGAUUAGCUAGGUGGUGGGGUAAAGGCCCACCAAGGCGACGAUCCGUAGCCGGUCUGAGAGGAUGGUCGGCCACACUGGAACUGAGACACGGUCCAGACUCCUACGGGAGGCAGCAGUGGGGAAUAUUGGACAAUGGGCGCAAGCCUGAUCCAGCCAUACCGCGUGGGUGAAGAAGGCCUUCGGGUUGUAAAGCCCUUUUGUUGGGAAAGAAAAGCAGCAGGUUAAUACCCCGCUGUUCUGACGGUACCCAAAGAAUAAGCACCGGCUAACUUCGUG